rnacentral:rRNA from 1 species
GGGGAAUUUUCCGCAAUGGGCGAAAGCCUGACGGAGCAAUACCGCGUGAGGGAGGAAGGCUCUUGGGUUGUAAACCUCUUUUCUCAAGGAAGAUAAUGACGGUACUUGAGGAAUCAGCAUCGGCUAACUCCGUGCCAGCAGCCGCGGUAAUACGGAGGAUGCAAGCGUUAUCCGGAAUGAUUGGGCGUAAAGAGUCCGUAGGUGGCUUUUCCAGUCUGCUGUCAAAGCUCGGGGCUCAACUUCGAAGGGGCAGUGGAAACUGAAAGGCUAGAGAGCGGUAGGGGUAGAGGGAAUUCCCAGUGUAGCGGUGAAAUGCGUAGAGAUUGGGAAGAACACCAGUGGCGAAAGCGCUCUGCUGGACCGUAACUGACACUGAGGGACGAAAGCUAGGGGAGCGAAUGGGAUUAGAUACCCCAGUAG